rnacentral:rRNA from 1 species
UACGUAGGGUGCGAGCGUUAAUCGGAAUUACUGGGCGUAAAGCGUGCGCAGGCGGUUCGUUGUGUCAGUGGUGAAAUCCCCGGGCUCAACCUGGGAACUGCAUCUGUGACUGCAUUGCUGGAGUGCGGCAGAGGGGGAUGGAAUUCCGCGUGUAGCAGUGAAAUGCGUAGAUAUGCGGAGGAACACCGAUGGCGAAGGCAACUCCCGUGGCUGCACUGACGCUCAUGCACGAAAGCGUGGGGAGCAAACAGG